CGGAAUUACUGGGCGUAAAGGGCUCGUAGGCGGCCAACUAAGUCAGACGUGAAAUCCCUCGGCUUAACCGGGGAACUGCGUCUGAUACUGGAUGGCUUGAGUUUGGGAGAGGGAUGCGGAAUUCCAGGUGUAGCGGUGAAAUGCGUAGAUAUCUGGAGGAACACCGGUGGCGAAGGCGGCAUCCUGGACCAUAACUGACACUGAAAAGCGAAAGCCAGGGGAGCAAACGGG
rnacentral:rRNA from 1 species